rnacentral:rRNA from 1 species
UCCAGACUCCUACGGGAGGCAGCAGUGGGGAAUAUUGCACAAUGGGGGGAACCCUGAUGCAGCGACGCCGCGUGAGUGAAGAAGUAUUUCGGUAUGUAAAGCUCUAUCAGCAGGGAAGAAAAUGACGGUACCUGACUAAGAAGCCCCGGCUAACUACGUGCCAGCAGCCGCGGUAAUACGUAGGGGGCAAGCGUUAUCCGGAUUUACUGGGUGUAAAGGGGGCGCAGACGGCCAGACAAGUCUGAAGUGAAAAUCCAACGCUUAACGUUGGAAGUGCUUUGGAAACUGCCGGGCUGGAGUGCAGGAGGGGCAGGCGGAAUUCCUAGUGUAGCGGUGAAAUGCGUAGAUAUUAGGAGGAACACCAGUGGCGAAGGCGGCCUACUGGACGGUGACUGACGCUGAGGCUCGAAAGCGUGGGGAGCAAACAGGAUUAGAUACCCUCGUA